GGUCAGGCAGCAUUCAUGGAGAGAGGAAACAUCUGUGUACUCAAUCAACGCAUGGAUCAUUUUACGUUAAAGAAAGUUGCGUUUCUACAUACAGUAAAUGAGGAAAGGAGGAACAACAUUACGUUCAGUAAUCCAGUGUUUGUAUCUAUUUUAUUAAAGAUGAAUAGCUGUAAUAUCUCAGUCUUUGUUUUAAGUGAUAA